GCCAGGGCCGAGACCCCACCAACGCGCCUGACGGGUGAACUCCGGGGGCCGCUGCCUGCACAGAAGGGGAGCGGACGGCCCGGCUGGGGCCAAUUCCCACCACGCCGGCCUGGUUUCUAAACAGUUUAAUCAAUUAGCGAGGUGGAAGCCCUCAGUGUCAGCUGCAGUGCUAAUGAGGGGCCCCGCCCCCACCCGUGGGACCCGAAGCCAGAUUCUGGCCCCUCAGCAGGUCCUCCCAGUGCAGUGGGGGCGGGGGGGCAAAGAGGGGGUCUGGGAACCCAGCGGUGCAGCCCCCACCAGAGGUGCAGCCCCCACCAGAGGCUCAGCCACACGGUGCCCGGUGCCCGGCCCUCCCUGCAGCCAGCUUUCCUUCUGGAACCACAGGGAACCUCCGACAAAGCCCUCCCAGCAGAGGAAGCUCAACUCCUGUGAUAGCCAGGAAGGGGGUGGCUCCGUAUGUGGGGGGAGUCGAGGUCGAGGGAGGCUGAGGGGUGAGCCCGGACUGUCUCUGCCACCCCAGCAUCCCAGCUGACGCCUCUCUCUCUCUCACACACACAGAGACACAUGUGAACACGGGCCACAUUCCUGCCCAACCUGACAUGGCUGGCACUCGCCAGGGCCUCAGCCAGCCCCGUGACAAACGGGAAACUGAGUCACAGCUCCCAUGGGGCCCAGCGUUUGCAGAUGGGGGGCCAGCGUGGAGCUGUGGGCUGCGGUUGCUCUCAGCUUCUCUCUCAUGGCCAUCAGUCGACUGGACCCCCAGGGUGAAAGGUGGAGGUGUCUGGCAUCCAGCAGGCAGGAGCCCCCCACCACCCAGCACAGGCUGCCCCCUCGACCCGGAGAGUUCUUGGAAAACCUCCAGGGCUCCCCGGAGGGAAAAGGGCAGGUGGAGGGGGCAAGUGGGGGCCGGAAAAGCAGGGGCGAUCCUCACUCUGGGAGCAAGGAGGAGCUUGUCACCCCCCUCCCUUAUGGGGGGACUGACAGAUAUGGGGCUACUGGGAGAAGCCACCACCCCCAAGAGCUCUGAAGCCUCCGACUUGUCUUGGGAAAGUCUCGCUGCUGUUGGAGCACGUGGGGGACGACGGGGGGACGACGGGGCCACCCUGGAGGGGAAGCAGUCGCUGUCCAGGGCAGGACCAGGUGUUCAGCGAGGACAGUGCGGGCUGCGCCGCACUCCGACGGCCUUUCUGGUCGCCCUCCGGGGACGAGUCACCCCCAGAGCCCCGGCCUCCUUGCCUUCGUGUGGAGCUCCCCAACCCUCUCUGGUGGCAAAGUCCGGUGAGCCAAGACCCCCUGCAUUGGUGAUGACCUAGUGAGUCCAGGCCCCAGCCAGGGCAUCUCCUCCCCCUGGUCACCUGCACCUGCCCCCACUGGGGUCCCUGCCACCCACCCUGGCCUGCCCAGGUCAGACGCCCCCAGCAGAUGGGAACCCUCAGGGCUGGGUGCUGUGUUCACCCCUGGGGUGUCAGGCAGGACCAUGAUAUCAAGUCCCCAGGAAGGAGCUGGGGGUGCAGACCUGUAGGCAGGGGUGUCCUGCAGAGGAGAGAGCUCAGGGAGAGCCCAGAAGCCACUUCCAGAUGCCGGGCUGCAGGCGUGGCUCAAAGCCCACCUCCUCUGUGAAGCCCACCUCGACCCUCAUAGUUAGAAGUGAGUUCUGCGGCCGGGCGCGGUGGCUCACGCCUGUAAUCCCAGCACUUUGGGAGGCCGAGGUGGGCGCAUCACGAGGUCAGGAGAUCGAGACCAUCCUGGCUAACAUGGUGAAACCCCGUCUCUACUAAAAGUACAAAAAAUUAGCCAGGCGAGGUGGCGCGCGCCUGUAGUCCCAGCCACUGGGAGGCUGAGGCAGGAGGAUGGCGUGAACCCGGGAGGCGGAGCUUGCAGUGAGCUGAGAUCCGGCCACUGCACUACAGCCUGGGCCACAGAGUGAGACUCCAUCUCGGAAAAAAAA
ensembl:lncRNA